GAACCCUUGGCACAGUGGUAGCGCGUGAGAUUCCAGUAUGGGAAAUCCUCAAGGUCGUCCGUUCAAUCCGGGCAGGGUUCA